GGUUGUGAACAAAAUUUAAGAACAACUCGAUAAAUCCUCAUCACCUUUAUCGAUUGUUAAUAGUUUUAAGGACUUCACUAUAAUAAGAAGAGUUCUAUAAGAAAGAUACAAAAUAUGAUGAACUACCAAAUAAUAUUUAUUAAUUUAUUUAUAAUUCAUAUACAAAUGCACAACUAUCUACAGUUAGACAAUUGGCUUUAGGAUACAAUCCCAAUAACUCUCACUUAUAUUAAAGCCAAUCAGAUCUGUAUCUAAUAUCCAUCUUCCAUUUGUGAUCAUCUAACUUCUUAAUCCUGAGGGCUUUAGUGAAGGAGUCGGCC
rnacentral:lncRNA from 1 species